rnacentral:rRNA from 1 species
AACGAACGCUGGCGGCGUGCCUAACACAUGCAAGUCGUGCGAGAAAGUUCCUUCGGGAGCGAGUAAGGCGGCGCACGGGUGAGUAACACGUAGGUAACCUGCCCCCCAGUCUGGAACAACUAGAGGAAACUCUAGCUAAUGCCGGAUGAGACCACGAUCCCCUUCGGGGGUUGCGGCCAAAGAUGGCCUCUACUUGUAAGCUAUCGCUGAGGGAUGGGGCCUGCGGGCCAUUAGCUUGUUGGUGAGGUAACGGCUCACCAAGGCUGUGAUGGCUAGCUGGUCUGAGAGGAUGACCAGCCACACUGGGACUGAGACACGGCCCAGACUCCUACGGGAGGCAGCAGUGGGAAUAUUAGCGCAAAUGGGCGAAAGCCUGACGCAGCGACGCCGCG